CGUACUUCGUAACGUAAAGUCCCGUUGCGUAUUUUUAGGACAAGAAAAGCUAUGAAGUCGUUUAAAUUUAACAGUAAUAAAUUCGGUAUUAUGAAUGAGGUAUGCGUGCAUAUCUAAUUACGAAGUUCAAAUCUGUCGUGGUAAUUUUAGAUUAAAAAAACAUAUUUCUUUUUUCUCAUAGGUCAACCCUAACGACCACGAAAAAAGCGAACGAAUCCAUGUAAACCGGAAGCCGCGUGCACGCAGUUCGCAAUUGUGCUUGCAGGCGUAACGUAAAAACCGAAAAGAAACGCUAACUGACUCAUCGCGUCGUCAAUUAACAGCGGAUAAAAAGUGCCUUAAAAAUCCGUCAAGGUCGCGCGAUUUCGAGACACACUCGCUGAGAGUGAGAAAGAAGGAUCGACGCGCGAAAAAAGAACGAGGUCGUCGCUCGCUGCGCCUUUGUCGUUAGAGAAGCUAUUUUUGCCGAAGACAGGGCAUUUUUUCAUCUUCUAAAUAUUCGCAGCACCGCUCAACGCUUUGUUUAUCUUGAUAAUCAUGACAUUUGCCAAACUUACAUAGCGCUUAAUUACUUCCCUUCUCUCUCUUUCGUCUUCGGACUUAUUUUUUACGCGCGUAGGCGAACGUCUGAGGCGCAUAUCCACGUUCGUCUGUCUGUUAUCAGCCGAAAAAGAAAGAGCAAGAAGCUUAAUUGGCUGCCUUUAUUCUGUCGCGGAUUUCAUCGCUGGAAAUGUACUUGUGAGAUCACAGAUAUUUAUAAUCUUUCGCUUAAGGAUUAUAUGCGCGCGAACAGUCGAUUCGAAGAAGUUUGCAACAAAGAGGCGCAAUAUCAUCAUCAUCGAUGUUUCAUUUGGAAAGUUAGCGCGCACUGCCCGGGGCAAAUUAUCUAUGUAAAAAUUCGCAACGAAGCGCAGUAAUUUUCUUCGGCGGCGCAUUCUCAUGUCUGCUUAUUGUUUAAAGACGCGACUGCGCGACUAUAUCAACAAAUAAAAAGUGCUCUUUAAGGAAACGAAAGAGAGGAAUCCUGUCAAGAUAGUACCUCUUGGGUGAGCUCAGCAGGUCCAAAGCUGUCAUUGGUUGUCUGCGAAGGUUGUGGCGGAUCCGGUGAGGUGGUAUUCCGUGCAUCAUCAGUGGCAUUGUUGACAGCAGCACUUGGACCAGCUUUGUCAUCAAUGUUCAUUGAGUAGUAUGGAGUCAAGAUUUUUGGGAUGUACGAAAGCUGGCCUAUGAACUAUAGUAUGCGAAUCAGUAUGCCAACCAGAACCAUUGUUCAGAUCCAAUGAACCAACUCCUAUGGUUUGUAUAUCUAGGCCAAG